AAAAUAAGGAACAAAAUCACCAGGAAUGGCUUCAGAACUCCCUGCUUCCCCUGAAAGUUCGUUUAUCCAAACAAGAAACAGAACCGUCUAUAUCAUUCAUCCGCCCAUCCUGAAUGACAUCUGGAGUAAGGUCAAACCCUAAAUUAGUGUCCCUGGGUGACAGUCAUCGGCGGUUGUGAUACUGACUCUGCAAACAAGUUAUGCACCUCAUUGUGCUCAGAAAUUUUCUUCACUUAUGGUCUAAGGAGGCUUCAAGUCCGAGAAGGAGAGGCUAUGCUUUCCCAAGGACUCUGGUUUCGAAGCUGGCUGCAA
rnacentral:misc_RNA from 1 species